rnacentral:rRNA from 1 species
UUGAUUACGUCCCUGCCCUUUGUACACACCGCCCGUCGCUGCCCGGAACUGGGCCACUUCGAGAAGCUCGGGGAUCGCUGGCUUGACGGCUUUCGGGCCAUCGUGCCGGUGAGAACCGAUUUAAUCGCAGUGGCUUGAACCGGGCAAAAGUCGUAACAAGGUAGCUGUAGGUGAACCUGCUGCUGGAUCAUUACCCACGUGAU